rnacentral:rRNA from 1 species
GACGAACGCUGGCGGCGUGCCUAAUACAUGCAAGUCGAGCGAGCGAAACUAACAGAUUUACUUCGGUAAUGACGUUAGGAAAGCGAGCGGCGGAUGGGUGAGUAACACGUGGGGAACCUGCCCCAUAGUCUGGGAUACCACUUGGAAACAGGUGCUAAUACCGGAUAAGAAAGCAGAUCGCAUGAUCAGCUUUUAAAAGGCGGCGUAAGCUGUCGCUAUGGGAUGGCCCCGCGGUGCAUUAGCUAGUUGGUAAGGUAAAGGCUUACCAAGGCGAUGAUGCAUAGCCUAGUUGAGAGACUGAUCGGCCACAUUGGGACUGAGACACGGCCCAAACUCCUACGGGAGGCAGCAGUAGGGAAUUUUCCACAAUGGACGCAAGUCUGAUGGAGCAACGCCGCGUGAGUGAAGAAGGUUUUCGGAUCGUAAAGCUCUGUUGUUGGUGAAGAAGGAUAGAGGUAGUAACUGGCCUUUAUUUGACGGUAAUCAACCAGAAAGUCACGGCUAACUACGUG